AACGAACGCUGGCGGCAUGCCUAACACAUGCAAGUCGAACGUGAUCCAGGGCUUCGGCUCUGGUGAAAGUGGCGGACGGGUGAGUAACGCGUGGGAACCCGCCCAGUGGUAGGGGAUAACCGCGGGAAACUGCGGCUAAUACCCUAUGUGCCCUCAGGGGCAAAGAUUUAUCGCCAUUGGAGGGGCCCGCGUCGGAUUAGGUAGUUGGUGAGGUAACGGCUCACCAAGCCUGCGAUCCGUAGCUGGCCUGAGAGGAUGAUCAGCCACACUGGGACUGAGACACGGCCCAGACUCCUACGGGAGGCAGCAGUGGGGAGUAUUGGACAAUGGGGGCAACCCUGAUCCAGCAAUGCCGCGUGAGUGAUGAAGGCCUUAGGGUUGUAAAGCUCUUUCGGCGGGGAAGAUGAUGACGGUACCCGCAGAAGAAGCCCCGGCUAACUUCGUGCCAGCCGCCGCCGUAACAC
rnacentral:rRNA from 1 species